CUGUAAGAAAAGUUCUUAAGUCUCUGAAUACAGCCAUAAUUACAUCAUGGAAGAUAAUGUUUUAUAAGUGUGCAUGUUCUGUUUAGUUCGUGGGUGUCCACUCUUUGACAUCCAGCUGCUUUUAGACUAUGUUACAUAAGAUUUUUAACCACCCCAUUCCUGGCAGAGAAUGAUGGAAUCUGUGGUUCCAGGGUUGGACAUAUUAAUGAAGAAGAACCUACAAUAACUCCCAGCCAGAUGAAGAAGUUGUCUAAUAAAGGUUUUUCAAACAUUAAUUUAUUUUAUUUUGUUUUCCCCCUUCACCCAAAUCUUCCUAAAAUGCUGUGGGCUGAAUCCAGUUUAAUUAAUAUAUAUUAUCUAG